CAAGCUAGACGGUCGCAACGCCUGAGCCCGUCGGCCGCUGAGUUACUGCAUGGCUGAAAGAAAGAGGCCCGUCUCCCAAGCAUUGCAGUCCGAAGGCCCAAGCGACAACCACCACGCGAGCGAUCUGAAAGAAGCCUCAGAAGCAACCCUUAAAAGGAUGAAAAGGCAACAGAGUUUGACAGAUUUUUUCAAUAAGAAACCAAAUAUGGAAUCAGUUGUAUCAGAAUUGGCCUUGGAUGCUACAAAACAGUCCCAAGCACAACCACUCCAAUUUGCAGAAAGCAGCAAGAUGAAUGAAAAUGAUUUAAAUACUACUUGUAAAGUAUUUAAGACAGUUUAUGGCCUGGCAAAAAAAUGUAGACCAUUUUCAGAUAUAGAAAGCGUGAUAGAAUUGCAAAUGGAAUAGAUAUGGGAACAGGAUUGCAUUCAUGUAAAACUGCAGUGAAAAUAGCUGAUUUCAUUGUAAAAGAAAUUAAAACCGAAAUGUUUACUAGCAUUAUUGAACAUAAUCUGAAAAUUUGUUUGAUUAUUGAUGAAGAAUCAACAAUAGCUUGUAAACCAGUUGUGAUAGUUUUCGUAAAAGUUGAGGAUUCUGAGGACCCACCAACAAUUUUUGUUGAGCUUGUUGAAUUGGAAAAACAAGAUGCAGAGACAAUGUAUACUUCAGUUAUGGAAAGUUUAAAUAAUGUUGGGUUUACUAAGAACUACCUAGAAAAAAUUUAAUAGGAUUUUGAUCUGAUGGUGCCAGUGUUCUGCUCGGAAGAAAAUCUGGAGUGAGUACUAGGAUAGCAAAAGAGUUUCCAAACAUCAUCAUAUGGCACUGUUUAAACCAUCGUCUCCAUCUUGUUUUAGAUGUUUCGAUAAAGGAAAUAGAAGUAAAUCAUUUUAAAAUAUUUAUUGAUAAGAUAAAUACUCUUUUUAAACUACCCUUGAAGUUCCAAUUUGAACUUAAUGAAAUACCCGAAGAACUUGAACUUGAAAUUAUAAAUAUUGGUCCAGUUUUGGGACGAAGAUGGUCUGCCUGUAGUUUAAGGUUAGCCCUAGCUGUGUGGCGCGCUUAUCCAGCGCUACAUCAUUUUUAUUCAAAUGAAAAGAACUUCAGUAUGGCUGCCCGUCUUGAAAAUAUAUAUUUAUAACGGAUUUGGCAUUGAUGAUUGAUAUUUUAAAUGAAAUUUAUCUUCUUUCAAAUGCGCUGCAAGCAAGAAAUAUAGACAUAAUAAAGGCUGACAAACCUGUGCUAAGAUCUAUUAAAGCAUUUCAAAUGCUUGGAAAGGCAAAGGGUCCAUACGAAAAAAAAAUUGAUGAAUUAAUUAUUUCAGAGGCCUUCAGAAAUAUAAAAUUUGUAGAAAAUAAUCAAUUUGUCGGGCUUCCUCGGGAAAGACUUUUAGAAACCAUCGUAAUAAAUUUGCAGAAAAGACUAAUGGAUUGUGGACAUUUAAAAGCAAGUUGUAGCCAAUUUCAAGAUAGGAAUAAAUUACAAUUUCUCAAUUUUUUGGAGCCAGGUUCCUGGAAUAUUGAAAAAGUACUAGUUCCAUGGAAAGCAGCUGAAGAACAAUUGCUUGUAUUUAAUGACAUUUUUCAUUACCAAAUUGAUAUUAAUGAUUAUCGAGAUUUUGUGGGAAAUGUUUUACGAAAUUCCCAGAAUUAUGCAAUUCCUGAAAGUGUUCAAAGAGCUAAAAAUAUCGUCAGAACAAUUGCUAUAAGUUCAGCACACGUGGAAAAGGUUUUUUCAAAGAUGAACAUAAUAUAUUCAGCGGAAACACAUCACUUAACUCCUUCUAAUAUAUCAAACAUUCUAACCAUUAGUGUAAUCGGUCUACCUCUAGAGGACUGGGAUCCUAUUCCUACCGUAAAAAAAUGGCUAAGGAUAAAUCAGAUGAUGAUGCUCUGACAAAUGCAAAGGAAAUUGCAAAUGAGGACGCCAAUCAAGAAAGAAUAUGGAAAUACCUUACGUAACAGUUUUAUUGUUUUUUGCCAGAGGACAAGGUGCCAGAUACAGAAGUCCUCUCCAGAGCAGGCCUGCCAGAACAUCAUAUCCCUAAGCAGCUUCUCUAGGGGUGAGCUGUCUCAAGGAAAGCGAUACAAACACGCUGAAAGCCUCUCUGAAGUAUCUGGAUAUCCACACCACCUCUGGGGAAACCCUGUCACAAGAUCAUUCGACAAGGUGCAUGUUGAUCCACCAAGGCUGCCAGACAUUUGAAGACAGAACAACAACCAUAGCACAAGAGAAGCGAGCACUCCACAAAGCCAGAGCUGCAAAUGCUGCUACAAUGGUCGACACACAUAGGCCUUACCAGCCACCUGCGGACACACUGUGGACAGCCCACAACCUGUUAGAUGUCAGUGUCCUCUUUGAAAGUGAUGGAUGAAAUCAUUUUCCACACAACAAGAACAACUCUGAGGUGAAUUGGAAGAGAAUGACUGGCCCAAAGCUAACUAACCAGCUUUCAUACCUAAGCUGGGACUAGAACUCACAGUCUCCUAGCUUCUAGCCUAGUGCCGUAACUACUAGACCAAAUUGGCUUUCAGGAUUUGUAAACAUCGUAUUUACUUAGUUACCAAGUACAACUACUUAUCUAAAGUUUUUAGAUUAGAUCAAAUUUAGUGGUGUAUAUUUUUAUUUCUGCUUUCUCUGUUAUUCUUUCUGUCUUUCGGAAUAAAUUUAGAUUAUUGCAAAGAGCUUUUGUAA